rnacentral:rRNA from 1 species
UACGUAGGGGGCGAGCGUUAUCCGGAAUUACUGGGCGUAAAGGGUGCGUAGGCGGCCUUUUAAGUCAGAUGUGAAAGGCUACGGCUUAACCGUAGUUAGCAUUUGAAACUAAAAGGCUUGAGUGCAGGAGAGGAGAGUGGAAUUCCUAGUGUAGCGGUGAAAUGCGUAGAUAUUAGGAGGAACACCAGUGGCGAAGGCGACUCUCUGGACUGCAACUGACGCUGAGGCACGAAAGCGUGGGGAGCGAACAGGAUUAGAUACCCUGGUAGUCCACGCCGUAAACGAUGAGUGCUAGGUGUUGGUGGGGACACCCAUCAGUGCCGCAGCUAACGCAUUAAGCACUCCGCCUGGGGAGUACGGUCGCAAGACUGAA